AUUGAACGCUGGCGGAAUGCUUUACACAUGCAAGUCGAACGGCAGCACGGGGCAACCUGGUGGCGAGUGGCGAACGGGUGAGUAAUACAUCGGAACGUGCCCAAUCGUGGGGGAUAACGUAGCGAAAGCUACGCUAAUACCGCAUACGAUCUACGGAUGAAAGCGGGGGAUCGCAAGACCUCGCGCGAAUGGAGCGGCCGAUGGCAGAUUAGGUAGUUGGUGGGGUAAAGGCUCACCAAGCCGACGAUCUGUAGCUGGUCUGAGAGGACGACCAGCCACACUGGGACUGAGACACGGCCCAGACUACUACGGGAGGCAGCAGUGGGGAAUUUUGGACAAGGGGCGCAAGCCUGAUCCAGCCAUUCCGCGUGCAGGAUGAAGGCCUUCGGGUUGUAGACUGCUUUUGUACGGAACGAAAAGGCUCUGGUUAAUACCCGGGGCUCAUGACGGUACCGUAAGAAUAAGCACCGGCUAACUACGUGCCAGCCGCCGCGGUAAUAC
rnacentral:rRNA from 1 species